GCACGACCAGAUUGGGCAAAAGGGAGGGGAAAGGAGAGGAGAGUAGGAAAGGGGAGGAAAGGAUGAGAGAAAAAGCAAAACAAAAAAAGAAAAAAUCGGGGCUACAAGUUCUUAGUGAUCCAAGGGAGAAGCUUCAUUUGCAUUCUUUCAUAAGUCCACCCGUUCGCCCAUGAUCAGCUUCGUGCUCCUACAAAGCGUUAAUCGUUUCGGAUCCCAUUGCACAUGUCUCUGAAGUUGGGCCACAUUAUCGAUGGGGUUUAGUCUAGUUGUCUGGCAUCGGGAGGGAGAGGGGAAGGGUGAAGGGGAGUAGAGGGGGAGAGGGAAGCAGAAAGGGAGAGGGAGAAGAGGGGAAGAGAAAAAGCAAAAAAAAAUUUUGGACCAUGGCUGCUGGUUCUUCAACGUUCGAGGCAGCGGUGG
rnacentral:lncRNA from 1 species